rnacentral:rRNA from 1 species
GAUGAACGCUGGCGGCGUGCCUAAUACAUGCAAGUCGAGCGAACUUUUGGGAGCUUGCUCCCAAAAGUUAGCGGCGGACGGGUGAGUAACACGUGGGUAACCUGCCUGUAAGACUGGGAUAACUUCGGGAAACCGGAGCUAAUACCGGAUAACAUUUAUUACAACAUGGCCUUCAAUUAAAAGGUGGCUUUUAGCUACCACUUAUAGAUGGACCCGCGGCGCAUUAGCUAGUUGGUGAGGUAACGGCUCACCAAGGCGACGAUGCGUAGCCGACCUGAGAGGGGGAUUCGCCACACUGGGAAUGGGACACGGCCCAGACUCCUACGGGAGGCAGCAGGAGGGAAUCUUCCGCAAUGGAGCGAAGUCUGGCGGGGCAACGCCGGGUGAGCGAAGAAGGCCUUCGGGUCGGAAAGCUCUGUUGUUAGGGAAGAACAAGUAGCGUACGAAUAGAGCGGUGCCUUGACGGUACCUAACCAGAAAGCCACGGCUAACUACGUG